CCGUAGUCAUAUGCUUGUUUAAAGAUUAAGCCAUGCAUGUCUAAGUAUAAGCAAAAAUACAGCAAAACUGCAAAUGGCUCAUUAAAACAGUUAUGGUUUACUUGAUAAUAGUUUUUACAUGGAUAACCGUGGUAAUUCUACAGCUAAUACAUGAGCAAAAUCUCAACUUUAUUAGAAGAGACGCAUUUAUUAGAUAAAAAGCCAAUGCAUGCUUUUACAGUAUGAAAAUUGGUGAUUUAUAAUAACUUAGCAAAUCGCAAAGUGAAAACAGGCGAUAAAUCAUUCAAGUUUCUGACCUAUCAGCUUUCGGCGGUAUGGUAUUGGCUUACCGUGGCAGUGACGGUUAACGGGGGAUUAGGGUUCGAUUCCGGAGAGGGAGCCUGAGAAACGGCUACCACAUCUAAGGAAGGCAGCAGGCGCGCAAAUUACCCAAUUCUAACAGUUUGAGAGAGGUAGUAACAAGAAAUAACAAUACAAGGCAGUUAAAAUGCUUUGUAAUUGGAAUGAUAGAAAUUUAAACCCUUUUUAAAGUAUCAAUUGGAGGGCAAGUCUGGUGCCAGCAGCCGCGGUAAUUCCAGCUCCAAUAGCGUAUAUUAAAAUUGUUGCAGUUAAAAAGCUCGUAGUUGAAGUUCUGCUAAAAGUAACCGGUCUGCUUUUAAUAAAGGUGGUAUCUUGGUGUGUAUUUAGCAAUGAUGUCCUUUGAAGUGUUUUUUACUUUUUUGUAAUAAAGCAUAUUCAGGACUUUUACUUUGAGAAAAUUAGAGUGUUUCUAGCAGGCUGACGCUUUGAAUACUGCAGCAUGGAAUAAUAAGAUAGGAUUUUAGUUCUACAUUAUUGGUUUUAAGAGCUAAAUUAAUGAUGAUA
rnacentral:rRNA from 1 species